rnacentral:rRNA from 1 species
AUUGAACGCUGGCGGCAGGCCUAACACAUGCAAGUCGAAUGGUAACAGGAAACAGCUUGCUGUUUCGCUGACGAGUGGCGGACGGGUGAGUAAUGUCUGGGAAACUGCCUGAUGGAGGGGGAUAACUACUGGAAACGGUAGCUAAUACCGCAUAACGUCGCAGGACCAAAGAGGGGGACCUUCGGGCCUCUUGCCAUCAGAUGUGCCCAGAUGGGAUUAGCUAGUAGGUGGGGUAACGGCUCACCUAGGCGACGAUCCCUAGCUGGUCUGAGAGGAUGACCAGCCACACUGGAACUGAGACACGGUCCAGACUCCUACGGGAGGCAGCAGUGGGGAAUAUUGCACAAUGGGCGCAAGCCUGAUGCAGCCAUGCCGCGUGUAUGAAGAAGGCCUUCGGGUUGUAAAGUACUUUCAGCGGGGAGGAAGGGAGUAAAGUUAAUACCUUUGCUCAUUGACGUUACCCGCAGAAGAAGCACCGGCUAACUCCGUG